GGCCAGCAUGAUGUAGUGGUUUGAAUGUUGGACUAUGACUCUAGAGGCCAGAGUUCGAGUCCCAGCUUGGCCA